rnacentral:rRNA from 1 species
CGGGGCCCGCACAAGCGGUGGAUGAUGUGGUUUAAUUCGAUGCAACGCGAAAAACCUUACCCACCUUUGACAUGUACGGAACCCUUUUAGAGAUAGAGGGGUGCUCGAAAGAGAGCCGUAACACAGGUGCUGCAUGGCUGUCGUCAGCUCGUGUCGUGAGAUGUUGGGUUAAGUCCCGCAACGAGCGCAACCCUUGUCAUUAGUUGCUACAUUCAGUUGGGCACUCUAAUGAGACUGCCGGUGACAAGCCGGAGGAAGGUGGGGAUGACGUCAAGUCCUCAUGGCCCUUAUAGGUGGGGCUACACACGUCAUACAAUGGCUGGUACAAAGGGUUGCCAACCCGCGAGGGGGAGCCAAUCCCAUAAAGCCAGUCGUAGUCCGGAUCGUAGUCUGCAACUCGACUACGUGAAGUCGGAAUCGCUAGUAAUCGUGGAUCAGAAUGUCACGGUGAAUACGUUCCCGGGUCUU